AGAGGCUGCCCACGCACGUCUAUUUCCGUAUGUGGCAAUUCCCAUCGCAUCCAACAGAGCGCCUCACCAGUUCCCCACGGCAGCGGAAUCCCCUUCCUCUUCGUCUUCUCCAAUCUCCAUCAAAUCCCACUACACAAUUACUGUGCCGAUUCAGUUGCUCUUACAAUCUGGUAGUAUUACUCUCCGGAGCGCUUGCAAUUUGUUAAGGUAAGCGAUGGCGAGGGCGUGCCCCCUUGCAACGAGAUCCACACGCCGUCGUCCGAGCCCUGCUCCGGCUUCCCCGACGUAGGGGCCCCCGCCUUUGAAGAAGAGGGCCUCGCGGCAGAUGCCGCUGCGCCGACAUCGACCCCAACCACUCUCGGCGUUUACCUUGCCGUCGUGUGUCGAGUGCCUCGACAGAAGGCCGGGAAGGCUCCCCCUGGAGCGGCUAACCCUUCUCGGUGCCGCUCAACUUCCCCACCACGCAUCCGCUGGGCUCUUGCCUGGAUGGACGCUCUUCCCGGCAACUCAACCAUGGAGUGGAAGUCGCGCCGGGGAGGUCUCUAGCCGGUGGACGUUUUUCUUUUCGGCCUCGAAGGGCUGGGCUGGUGGUGACAUCGGGUAGGGCCUCCAUUGAUAGCCAUGACUUGCAGGAGUGCUAGAUCGACGUCUUCCCGCAGGUGCCGCCUCGACUGAUUCAGAGAGGACAUUGACUGCGGCAAUGCUGGCCCUUCCUGGCAAGUGACCAGCAAUGGUGCCUUUUUUGUUUUGGGGCAAGCUGACCUCAUGCAUCUGCGCAGGAAGUUUGGCUCCUUUCUAUCAGUGAUGGAUUUGCAAGGUAUUCAGUAAUUGAUGUUUGGCACUCCCUCUCCUAAUAAUAUCCGAGAUGGUGCUUCACUUCCUCUUCCCAUGAUCUAAGGUGGUGCGUGCUGGACGACAACCAAGUAGUCAUCUUGAUCGGCCCGAUCACUGCAUAUGCAUACUCUGCAGAUUUUUGUCUCCUACUGGUAUAUUCUUCCCAAGUUCCCCUCCAUUGCUAAGGGGGUGUUUGGUUCAGGGGCUUUUUAGUCCCAGAGACUAGAAAAAGUCCCUAAAAAGUCCCUAGGAACCAAACGGGAGGGACUUUUUCUAUAGGGACUAGAAAAAGACUCUACUAGAGAGUCUUUUUUUAUUAGUCCCUGGGACUAGAAAAAGUCCUAGGACUUCUGAACCAAACACCCCCUAAUUCUGCAUUUUUGUUUGCUUCAUUCAAAUCUGAAUUAAUAUUUCUUUUAUUGGAUAUGUAAACUUGCAUUAUAUACAAGCACCCUGUGUACUGUGUGUUUGGGGCUACCUUUCUAGAGAUCGUCAUUGUUGUUAGAGAUUUCACCAGAAUACAAUACAUUUGGUUGCUGACGGAUAUCUUUUCAACAUCAUUGGCCUGCUUAAUACGUGAUAUCUUUAGUGUGAGCUUUACUUAUAUGAAUUUUGUUUUUUCAUGAAUGGCAAAUUUGAUAAUGAAACGUCUCUUUUUCAUCAGGUCACCUGCAGAAGAUUAUAACCGUUUCACAUGCCCUCUCUUUGCAUACUUUGAGGGCGUGACCAUUUGAAUUAUCGUGUAGUUUCUUUUCAGCAGUAGUAUGUACACUUUCAAUAAUCUCAAUUUUGUUUAAAAGAAGUUCAAAACUAUCAAAUAAACCAUGAGAGCAUAAUGGUGCAGGCUUUGCUCAGUGAUGUCAGAUCCAUUUCGUGUCUACUAUUUGUUUCCUUGACUACAAAUUCAGAGUUCAUUUGAAUUCUUGUGACGUCUUUGUGUAAGAGCUAACAUCACUGCAUCUGUCGCCGACACCACACACCACUUACAGUCUCCUCCAAGCAUGGCAUCAAUGGCAUGCCUGCCUGAUCCCACAACCAUUGUUUGCUCUCCGAUGACUUUCUAAUUAAUCUGAAAAUCAGUUUUUGUUCCCUGCUCAUGCUACAACUUGGACCAUGGCAUCCGCUGACAUGAAUGUACUCCGAUUUUGGUUCUCAAGAAUUUACUAAUUGAUGCUUAUUCUAUACAUUUCUAUUUUUAAAAAUGUUGAUUCAAGCUUUAUAGGUUUCCUGAUGAUGUGUGGUAAGAAGUCCGCUAUGAACCAAAUUUGGAAUUCUUGAGAAGUAUUGAGACUAAAUUGGAGAGAGAGAACAAACUUGAUACAUUUGGUAAUGUUGGUCAUCCGAAGGCUUCAGGAAUACUCCCUAAGUUCCAUAAUUAUAUAUGUAUUAUUGGACGGAGGGAGUAUCAUUUAGUGACUGGCAAAAUCUAUUGAUGCGUGUACAUAAUAUCAACAAAUGUUACAUACUCAUUUUAUUGUCAUGUAAUACAAGCAUUUGUGAUGUGCUGUAUCUAAAUGUGAUAUAUUUUACACCAA